rnacentral:lncRNA from 1 species
AGUGUGACACGGUGAGGGGCGCACAUCGCCGUGAACUCCUUUUUCCCCCACAAAAAUCCGAAUCAAAUUAAGCCUCUACAUUAGCGCUGUUCAACAGAAAUAUCACGUGAGCUAUCUUACAGUAUUUAAGACAGGAAUCUUAAAUUUUCUAGUAACCACGUUAAAAAGUCCACAGGAACGCACAUGGUACCAAGAAGGGAAAGAAGAUACCACGUAUGUGCAGUCACUCAAUUCAGAGUGUGGAAAAUGCUACAGGCUAUCUCUGGAGGGUCUUGAAGAAAGAAGAAAUUCUGUAUUAUCCAAACAGAUGGUUAUGAGGAUCUACUUUCAACCUUCCACGUUAUGUGCUGUGAAUCAAGUCUUCACCCUACCAUUUAUCCAUUGUCUCCAAGAGCUUUUGAUAUAUCAGGAAAUAGGGAAGCCCUACAUAUGGAAAAGUGUAAGGAUUGUAGUGGUGAGAUGUGUGUUCCAGACUCUCUGGAUUCAAAUCCCAGCUCUGCUACUCAUAAGUAAGUGACUUAAUUGCAUUCACUUUCUCAUUGGUAACAUCGGGACAAUAAUAGGUCCUUACUGCCAGGGCUGCUAUGAGGAUUAUAAGCAACACGCAAAAGGCAUUUGGAACUAGACCCUGCUUGUGUCAAGAAGGCUACAAAUACAAGGGAUUUGGGUGCAGGGAAGUUAGGAGAGAACAGGGAAGGCUCAUCAAGAGAGAACAGGGCAAGACUCACUGAUGUGUUAUUUUCAUUCUGCAAAAAUUUAACAAGUGAUUACACAGCAGGAGCUACAUUAAAGGCCCAGAAUUUUAAAAGAAUUAAAAAAAAUAGAUGAAGUCCUAAAAACUUCCUUGUGUAUUUGAAUAAAAUGAUAUAAACAG